CGGAGGGUAGGAUAGCGGCUAUUCCGCCUGGUUUGGGACCAGGAUGUCGGGGGUUCAAAUCCCCCCCUUCCGA
rnacentral:tRNA from 1 species